GUAUAACUUUACAACUAGUACUUUUUCUCAUUCAAUCGAACAAAGAGCAAAACCUAAUUUUAUUGUUCUAUUAUGCCACGGGAGUGUAAAUUUGGAACGAAUCGAUGUCAACGUUCACUAGACCCAAAACCGGAACAACAUUAGACAACUCAGUUGUCCCAUAACAGUAUAACUUUGCAACGAGUACUUUUUCUCAUUCUAUCGAAUAAGGAGUAAAAGCUUUCUAUUAUGCCCUGAGAGUGUAAAUUGAACGAAUCGAUGUCAACGUUCACAAGAACCAAAAUUGGAACAAAGUUAGGCUACUCAGUUGAGCCCUAAUAGUAUAACUUUGCAACCAGUACAUUUUUUCAUUCAAUCGAACAAAGUGCAAGAACUAAUUAUAUGGUUCUAUUAUGCCCCGAGAGUUUAAAUUUGGAACGAAUCGAUAUAAACGUUCACAAGACCCAAAAUCGGAACAAAGUUAGACUACUCAGUUGAGCCCUAAAAGUAUAACUUUACAACUAGUACUUUUUCUCAUUCGAUCGAACAAAGAGCAAAACCUAAUUUUAUUGUUCUAUUAUGCUCCGGGAGUGUAAAUUUGGAACGAAUCGAUGUCAACGUUUACAAGAACCAAAACCGGAACAAUAUUAGACUACUCAGUUGAGCGCUAACAGUAUAACUUUGCAACUAGUACUUUUUCUCAUUCAAUCGAUCAAAGAGCAAAACCUAAUUAUAUUCUUCUAUUAUGCCCCGAGAGUGUAAAUUUGGAACGAAUCGAUGUAAACGUUCACAAGAACCAAAACCGGAACAAAGUUAUACUACUCAGUUGAGCCCAAACAGUAUAACUUUGCAACUAGUACUUUUUCUCCUUCAAUCGAACAAAGAGCAAAACCAAAUUAUAUUGUUCUAUUAUACCCCGAGAGUGUAAAUUUGGAACGAAUCGAUGUCAACGUUCACAAGAACCAAAACCGGAACAAGAUUAGACUACUCAGUUGCGCCACAACAGUAUAACUUUGCAACGAUUACUUUUUCUCAUUCUAUCGAACAAAGGGUAAAACCUUUCUAUUAUGCCCCGAAAGUGUAAAUUUGGAACGAAUCGAUGUGAACGUUCACAAGAACCAAAACCGGAACAAAUUAUACUACUCAUUGCGCCGUAACAGUAUAACUUUGCAACUAGUACUUUUUCUCAUUCAAUCGAACAAAGAGCAAAACCUAAUUAUAUUCUUCUAUUAUGCCCCGAGAGUGUAAAUUUGGAAUGAAUCGAUGUAAACGUUCACAAGAACCAAAACCGGAACAAAGCUAGACUACUCAGUUGAGCCCUAACUGUAUAACUUUGCAACGAGUACUUUUUAUCAUUCUAUUGAAUAAGUAGUAAAAGCUUUCUAUUAUGCCCCGAGAGUGUAAAUUUGGAACGAAUCGAUGUAAAUGAUCACAAGAACCAAAACCGGAACAAAGUUAUACUACUCAGUUGAGCCCUAACAGUAUAACUUUGCAACUAGUACUUUUUCUCAUUCAAUCGAACAAAGAGCAAAACCAAAUUAUAUUGUUCUAUUAUACCCCGAGAGUGUAAAUUUGGAACGAGUCGAUGUCAACGUUCACAAGAACCAAAACCGGAACAACAUUAGAUUACUCAGUUGCGCCAUAACAGUAUAACUUUGUAACGAGUUCUUUUUCUCAUUCUAUCGAACUAGGAGUAAAAACUUUCUAUUAUGCCCCGAGAGUGUAAAUUUGGAACGAAUCAAUGUAAACGAUCAAAAGAACCAAAAUCGGAACAAAAUUAGACUACUCAGUUGCGCCGUAACAAUAUAACUUUGCAACUAGUACUUUUUCUCAUUCAAUCAAACAAAGAGCAAAAC
rnacentral:lncRNA from 1 species